UACGAAGGGGGCUAGCGUUGCUCGGAAUCACUGGGCGUAAAGCGCACGUAGGCGGCAUUGCAAGUCGGAUGUGAAAUCCCUCGGCUUAACCAAGGAAGUGCAUCCGAAACUGCAGUGCUUGAGUACUUAAGAGGAUCGCGGAAUUCCCGGUGUAGAGGUGAAAUUCGUAGAUAUCGGGAGGAACACCAGUGGCGAAGGCGGCGAUCUGGGAAGAUACUGACGCUGAGGUGCGAAAGCGUGGGGAGCAA
rnacentral:rRNA from 1 species